rnacentral:lncRNA from 1 species
CAAAUUGAGUAUCUAAAACGUUCAUUUGAAGUGAAAAUUUGACCAUUUGAAUAUAAUAAAAAUAUUCAAUAAAAUAACUAUUUUCUUGUAAAAUAAUUUUCGUAAAACUAUCGAUACAUAAUUCUUAUAGCGUAAAAGUUAAUUAUAUUCAUAUAUACUAUAAAGCAAAUAACCAAAGCAUAAAAUUUCUUUUACAGUGACACGUGGGCCCACAUCUAUCCAAAAUGCAUCGGAAGCUGGAAACCUACAGCUUUUACCGAUUCGAGUCCAAAUGAAAGUCCUUGUCAAAGUCAGCUAACUAUGGAAAUCCCCGAGCCUUAAAUGUGAGGAAAUGAGGGUGGUGAGAUUAUAAAAUCCCAGUGAGUAAACAAAUACCAUUUAAACUAUCUAAAGUCGAGUAAAUGGAGACAAUUAAA